rnacentral:rRNA from 1 species
UACGGGGGGGAGCAAGCGUUGUUCGGAUUUACUGGGCGUAAAGGGCGCGUAGGCGGUCGUGACAAGUCACUUGUGAAAUCUCCGGGCUUAACUCGGAACGGUCAAGUGAUACUGUCGGACUAGAGUACAGAAGGGGCAACUGGAAUUCUCGGUGUAGCGGUGAAAUGGCGUGAGAGUAUCGAGAGGAACACCUGCGGCGAAGGCGGGUUGCUGGGCUGAGUGACUGACGCUGGAGGCGCGGAAAGCUAGGGGAGCGAACGGG